rnacentral:tRNA from 1 species
GUCCCCGUAGUUCAACGGAUAGAGCAAGCCCGUCCUAAGGGCGAGAUGGGGGUUCGAUUCCUCUCGGGGAUA